rfam:Balearica pavonina gibbericeps contig102779, whole genome shotgun sequence.
CUAGGAGAACCGAAAACAGUUCUAGACUGACCUGCGGUUUUAUAGCACUUUGGCAGUCAACUUCAGCUUGUGUCAGAGCAGACAUGACAGAGCUGCCCAAGGCUUAAUCGCGGGACGCCACCUCCUCGGACUCACAGCAGCCCCCCUCUUGCAUUUCAAUAAAUUUCAAACCUUGGGGCUAGAAAUGGGGAGCAGAGCUG